rnacentral:rRNA from 1 species
GACGAACGCUAUCGGCGUGCUUAACACAUGCAAGUCGAACGGAAAGGCCCUGCUUUUGUGGGGUGCUCGAGUGGCGAACGGGUGAGUAACACGUGAGUAACCUGCCCUUGACUUUGGGAUAACUUCAGGAAACUGGGGCUAAUACCGGAUAGGAGCUCCUGCUGCAUGGUGGGGGUUGGAAAGUUUCGGCGGUUGGGGAUGGACGCGCGGCUUAUCAGCUUGUUGGUGGGGUAGUGGCUUACCAAGGCUUUGACGGGUAGCCGGCCUGAGAGGGUGACCGGCCACAUUGGGACUGAGAUACGGCCCAGACUCCUACGGGAGGCAGCAGUGGGGAAUAUUGCACAAUGGGCGGAAGCCUGAUGCAGCAACGCCGCGUGCGGGAUGACGGCCUUCGGGUUGUAAACCGCUUUCGCCUGUGACGAAGCGUGAGUGACGGUAAUGGGUAAAGAAGCACCGGCUAACUACGUGCCAGCAGCCGCGGUGAUACGUAGGGUGCGAGCGUUGUCCGGAUUUAUUGGGCGUAAAGGGCUCGUAGGUGGUUGAUCGCGUCGGAAGUGUAAUCUUGGGGCUUAACCCUGAGCGUGCUUUCGAUACGGGUUGACUUGAGGAAGGUAGGGGAGAAUGGAAUUCCUGGUGGAGCAGUGGAAUGCGCAGAUAUCAGGAGGAACACCAGUGGCGAAGGCGGUUCUCUGGGCCUUUCCUGACGCUGAGGAGCGAAAGCGUGGGGAGCGAACAGGCUUAGAUACCCUGGUAGUCCACGCUGUAAACGGUGGGUACUAGGUGUGGGGUCCAUUCCACGGGUUCCGUGCCGUAGCUAACGCUUUAAGUACCCCGCCUGGGGAGUACGGCCGCAAGGCUAAAACUCAAAGGAAUUGACGGGGCCCCGCACAAGCGGCGGAGCAUGCGGAUUAAUUCGAUGCAACGCGUAGAACCUUACCUGGGUUUGACAUGGAUCGGGAGUGCUCAGAGAUGGGUGUGCCUCUUUUGGGGUCGGUUCACAGGUGGUGCAUGGCUGUCGUCAGCUCGUGUCGUGAGAUGUUGGGUUAAGUCCCGCAACGAGCGCAACCCUUGUUCACUGUUGCCAGCACGUUAUGGUGGGGACUCAGUGGAGACCGCCGGGGUCAACUCGGAGGAAGGUGGGGAUGACGUCAAGUCAUCAUGCCCCUUAUGUCCAGGGCUUCACGCAUGCUACAAUGGCUGGUACAGAGAGUGGCGAGCCUGUGAGGGUGAGCGAAUCUCGGAAAGCCGGCCUCAGUUCGGAUUGGGGUCUGCAACUCGACCUCAUGAAGUCGGAGUCGCUAGUAAUCGCAGAUCAGCAACGCUGCGGUGAAUACGUUCCCGGGGCU